GUCUUGACACCAAGCAGCGCACUCCUGCAGCUACGUUAGCAGCAGGUGAGGGCUAGGAUUAGCCUUAGCUCCUGCAGCUGCGUCAGCAGCAGGGCCGCCCACUACGCGCGCAGGCCUGCGAGCCCCGCCCACCCCGUACCCAGCAACUGCGCGUGCUCACGGCCCGCGCGUGCUCACGGCUGCUCCUGCCAGAUGCCGGUCCGCGCUGCUCUGCCCGGUUGUGUUGCCGCCUUAGCUGUCUCUUUCUGACCACUGUUCAAGGGGUGUCUCAAACUAUCUCUGGAUGACUAACACCCUCUCCACAAGUUGCCAACACGAGGAAUAUAGAAACGAUUUACCUUCAUCUUUUGAUGGUAGUGUUGCUGGUAUGUCAGCAAUUUUCUAUCACCAGAUACAGCAGCUGACUCUGUACUGGGGAAUAAUGGUCUCCUCUGUGCAGGGAAUGAAGACGUCACCUUUUUUUUUUCCUAUACAUCUGUUCCCACACCUUAGAUCUGGAUGUGAAGCAUAAAUGAGAAUUCGACAGAAAAAUAUAUUUCUAACACCACCGGCAUACUAGCUAAAUGUUAACAUUUGUCGAGGACAGAGUCAGAGACCAACAGUAUCAUCAGAUGAAACACUGAAUAAACAACUUCAGCUGCACCAUGUUGUGUCUCCCACUGUGUGUUACUCACAAGACCUAUGUCAAAAAAACGAUAGCUCUUUGGUUCUCCUCCCUGAAUCCAGCAUGUUCUAAGGGCACGUACCUCAUUUUC